rnacentral:rRNA from 1 species
CAAAUGAAUCAAAACUUUCAACAACGGAUCUCUUGGUUCUGGCAUCGAUGAAGAACGCAGCGAAAUGCGAUAAGUAAUGUGAAUUGCAGAAUUCAGUGAAUCAUCGAAUCUUUGAACGCACAUUGCGCCCGCCAGCAUUCUGGCGGGCAUGCCUGUUCGAGCGUCAUUUCAACACUC